AUUCUUGUGCAGAGACAAUUUCAUAGUCUAUGAAGUUCUACUGAGAUGUGAUUAUUGCUGGUUGAAAACUUUAACCAAUUCCCGCCUGGAUGAUUUGAAACACAGUCAGCUAUGGCAAUUUUUGCUAGUCUCUCAGGAGA
ensembl:snRNA U4 U4 spliceosomal RNA